rnacentral:rRNA from 1 species
AACGCGAAGAACCUUACCAAGUCUUGACAUCCCCCUGACCGGAACUUAACCGUUCCUUUCCUUCGGGACAGGGGAGACAGGUGGUGCAUGGUUGUCGUCAGCUCGUGUCGUGAGAUGUUGGGUUAAGUCCCGCAACGAGCGCAACCCUUAUCCUUAGUAGCCAGCAGGUAGAGCUGGGCACUCUAGGGAGACUGCCAGGGAUAACCUGGAGGAAGGUGGGGAUGACGUCAAAUCAUCAUGCCCCUUAUGAUUUGGGCUACACACGAGCUACAAUGGCGUAAACAAAGGGAAGCGACCCCGCGAGGGCAAGCAAAUCUCAAAAAUAACGUCUCAGUUCGGAUUGCAGGCUGCAACUCGCCUGCAUGAAGCUGGAAUCGCUAGUAAUCGCGAAUCAGAAUGUCGCGGUGAAUACGUUCCCGGGUCUUGUACACACCG